rnacentral:rRNA from 1 species
AGGGUUCGAUUCUGGCUCAGGAUGAACGCUAGCGACAGGCUUAACACAUGCAAGUCGAGGGGCAGCAUAAAAGUAGCAAUACUUGGUGGCGACCGGCGCACGGGUGAGUAACGCGUAUGCAACCUACCUAUCAGAGGGGAAUAACCCGGCGAAAGUCGGACUAAUACCGCAUAAAACAGGGACACCGCAUGGUGAUAUUUGUUAAAGAAAUUCGCUGAUAGAUGGGCAUGCGUUCCAUUAGGUAGUUGGUGAGGUAACGGCUCACCAAGCCGACGAUGGAUAGGGGAACUGAGAGGUUGGUCCCCCACACUGGUACUGAGACACGGACCAGACUCCUACGGGAGGCAGCAGUGAGGAAUAUUGGUCAAUGGGCGAGAGCCUGAACCAGCCAAGUCGCGUGAAGGAAGAAGGAUCUAUGGUUCGUAAACUUCUUUUGCAGGGGAAUAAAGUGCAGGACGUGUCCUGUUUUGUAUGUACCCUGAGAAUAAGGAUCGGCUAACUCCGUGCCAGCCGCGGC